CAGUUUCUAUCCUCUUUUUGAAAUGAGCUAAUUUUGUACGAAAGGACUUUUUCGCUAAAGCAAUGCUUUGUCACAAAUCUGUGGUUGCAUAAAUAAUAGGGUGUAAUAGGUUGAUUAACCUAUAGGAAGGGUUA
rnacentral:rRNA from 1 species